UCCUACGGGGGGCAGCAGUGGGGAAUAUUGCACAAUGGGGGAAACCCUGAUGCAGCGACGCCGCGUGGGCGAGGAAGUACCUCGGUAUGUAAAGCCCUAUCAGCAGGGAAGAAACAGGACAGUACCUGACUAAGAAGCCCCGGCUAACUACGUGCCAGCAGCCGCGGUAAUACGUAGGGGGCAAGCGUUAUCCGGAUUUACUGGGUGUAAAGGGAGCGUAGACGGCUGUGCAAGUCUGAAGUGAAAUGCCGGGGCCCAACCCCGGAACUGCUUUGGAAACUGUACAGCUAGAGUGCAGGAGGGGG
rnacentral:rRNA from 1 species